rnacentral:lncRNA from 1 species
GGCUGCUGCAAGGUCCUAAUUCUGAGUCAUGCUGGAAAAGCACCCACCCUGCUGGCUCCUCUGCCUGCAGCCACUCCAUUCAACACCUCCAGCAUCCGUGGCAAACACCUCUGCAGCUGAUGCACGAGCUCAGCUUUGUCCUGCUGGAGCCUGGGUGGUCCCCCCAGCAUCGGCGAGUGAAAAGGGCUCUCUGAAGCACUGCACUGCUUUAUGGCAAUAACUGCAGGGAGUUAUUCUCCCCAGAGUUAAGUCCAUGACUGGUGGAAGGGCGUUAAGGUAGCGCUUCGCAGCCCCAAUUAUCUUGGCUGCUCGAACAAAAAAGCAGAUUGUGUCACCGGA